rnacentral:lncRNA from 1 species
CUUUACUGUGGGCUACCUGCCCGUAUUUAUGCAGGUCUCCCACUUGGUGGACACUCCCCUAGGGGACCAAAUGGGAGACUUAAAUGACAGACAGAUAUGGGGACAUUCCAGACACACAGUCACAGAUUUUACCCACAGUGCAUUAUGAUUCCCUCCCCUCUACCCUGGAGUUAAUUACCAAGUAACUCAAUUAACUCCAGGACAAAGCCAGUCGCCAUCUUAAAUAUAAAAUCAUAAAAGACAUAA